UGUUCCCAGCUAUAACACAUAACCUGCAUCAAAUCAAAAAACCAUUUAAGAUUCUAAAAACAAUUUCAGAAUUUUGACAUUAAGCUACUCCGUGCAUAAAUCAAAUAAAUAUUUAAAUUACAUGAGAUAACUUAAAAAUAGGUCUUCAAGAAUAUGUGGGAAAAAAUGGUUUAAAAUCAAUUCAUUAACAGCAGAAUUUCAUAAUUGUUCAACUUUGAUGACUGGGAUCCAACUAUCAGUACAUAACAAAAUCAAUUCAUUAACAGCAGAAUUUCAUAAUUGUUCAACUUUGAUGACUGGGAUCCAACUAUCAGUACAUAAC
rnacentral:misc_RNA from 1 species